rnacentral:rRNA from 1 species
UACGAAGGGGGCUAGCGUUGCUCGGAAUCACUGGGCGUAAAGCGCACGUAGGCGGAUCCUUAAGUCGGGGGUGAAAUCCUGGAGCUCAACUCCAGAACUGCCUUCGAUACUGAGGAUCUCGAGUCCGGGAGAGGUGAGUGGAACUGCGAGUGUAGAGGUGAAAUUCGUAGAUAUUCGCAAGAACACCAGUGGCGAAGGCGGCUCACUGGCCCGGUACUGACGCUGAGGUGACGAAAGCGUGGGGAGCAAACAGG